rnacentral:misc_RNA from 1 species
UACGUUGUUUGUAUCCAUCGAACUUCUUUGUGCCAAAAUUUAAGAUACUCGGAGAGAAGGUUGUUCCUAUCAUUAUCCCCGACGGAAUCAUGCUACAAGUGCAACAGAAAGCUUUAUGAUUUUUUGGAAAGUAGAGCAGAAAAUACAUCAGUUCAGCAAUCGGUUCAACAACUGAAGCUGAUAUAUGUACAACGUUAUUCUCCGAUAUCCAUUUUUGUUAUCAUCACUAUACCUAGUAUACAUGAGUUCUUCUCGAAUGUACAUAGUAGUUCAGGUUCUCUUCCUCAUCUUCAACCCAAUUUUGGUG